CUAAGUAGAUAUGUGCAUUGUGCUAGUGUAGCUUUGUUAAAAUGUUUAAAGAGGAUAUUGAGAUACAUAAAUGGUACUAUUGAUUUAUCUUUAACAUACAAAUAUGAUAAGGAAAGUAAAAAUGUAUGUAAACUACAAGGUUACAGUGAUGCAGACUGGGCCGGUGAUGUAUCAGACCGGAAGUCAACAUCAGGACAAAUAUUUUAUAUUUUUAAUUCCCCAGUUUCUUGGUAUAGCAAGAAACAAUCUUGUGUAUCACUGUCAUCUUGUGAAGCUGAAUAUGUAGCUCUUAGUAUGAGUAUUAUGGAAGGAUCUUUUUUGAAAAAGUUACUCAAAGACUUUGGUUAUGUUAAUGUAUAUUUUGAAAUAUUUGAAGACAAUCAAAGUGUAAUUAAUAUAGCAAACAACAACGACAGUAAUAAGAGAUUAAAACAUAUAGACAUAAAGUAUCAGUACAUAGUAGAAAAUGUAUCAGCAGGUUUAGUUAAAUUAAAAUUUGUUUGUAGUAAUAAAAAUGUUGCCGAUUUGUUUACCAAACCAUUAGGAAAAACACUUUUUGUUAAACUUAGAAAUAUGAUAUUGUCAUAACUUUGUAAGUAGACACAUGCAUAGGAAAGUGUUAGUUAGUAAAGUAAGUAUCUUAUGACUGUAGAAGAUGUUUGAUAUUCUUAAGUUGAGGGCUCUGACUCUGUGCUUUUAUUUUGAGGUUGUUUGUGUUAUUAAGUAGGUGCACUAGUGUCUCAAAAUUGUUAAGGGUUUAGUAAGUGUACUUUAAAUUAAAAUAAAAUGUUGAGGGGGUGUAUUGAAUAUUUGUAGGAAUGUGGCAACAUUAAUAUUUUAAUUAUAAUAGUUUAUUGGUUUGUAAUUUAAUUUUAAGUAUAGCAACUCUCUGUGUGUCCGCCGGUCAAGGCGAUCAUCCAUUUUGUGUGUAGCACCGAAAGUAAAAAAUAAAACAACGCAAUUAAUCCAA